UAUUUUGGCUAGGAUGACAAAUGUUAUAAUCCCAGCUCUAUGAGACCUUUUUCAAGGUCUGGGAAUUGACUUUAUCCAACAUUUAUCUGAGCUUUUA
rnacentral:snoRNA from 1 species